rnacentral:rRNA from 1 species
AUUGAACGCUGGCGGCAUGCCUUACACAUGCAAGUCGAACGGCAGCGCGGGCUUCGGCCUGGCGGCGAGUGGCGAACGGGUGAGUAAUGCAUCGGAACGUGCCCAGUAGUGGGGGAUAGCCCAGCGAAAGCCGGAUUAAUACCGCAUACGACCUGAGGGUGAAAGCGGGGGACCGAAAGGCCUCGCGCUAUUGGAGCGGCCGAUGUCGGAUUAGCUAGUUGGUGGGGUAAAGGCUUACCAAGGCGACGAUCCGUAGCUGGUCUGAGAGGACGACCAGCCACACUGGGACUGAGACACGGCCCAGACUCCUACGGGAGGCAGCAGUGGGGAAUUUUGGACAAUGGGGGCAACCCUGAUCCAGCCAUGCCGCGUGCGGGAAGAAGGCCUUCGGGUUGUAAACCGCUUUUGUUCGGGAAGAAAUCCUCUGGGCUAAUACCCCGGGGGGAUGACGGUACCGGAAGAAUAAGCACCGGCUAACUACGU